UUAUGCAGUGAAUGUUGUUGAUCUACCUGGGUUGGGAAUUAAGAAAACCCUUAUUUUGAGAGAAAUUCCUGAGGACGGAGUGAAGAAGCUGCUGUCCAAUAAGGAGUCUCUGGCACCGUGUGAUAUAGCAGUGUUUGUUCAUGAUAGCUCUGAUGAGUCCUCAUGGAGGAGAGCGACUGAAUUGCUUGUGGAAGUUGCUAGUCAUGGUGAGGAUACUGGCUAUGAGG
rnacentral:misc_RNA from 1 species